GAUGAACGCUGGCGGCGUGCCUAAUACAUGCAAGUCGAGCGAACAGACGAGGAGCUUGCUCCUCUGACGUUAGCGGCGGACGGGUGAGUAACACGUGGAUAACCUACCUAUAAGACUGGGAUAACUUCGGGAAACCGGAGCUAAUACCGGAUAAUAUAUUGAACCGCAUGGUUCAAUAGUGAAAGACGGUUUUGCUGUCACUUAUAGAUGGAUCCGCGCCGCAUUAGCUAGUUGGUAAGGUAACGGCUUACCAAGGCAACGAUGCGUAGCCGACCUGAGAGGGUGAUCGGCCACCCUGGAACUGAGACACGGUCCAGACUCCUACGGGAGGAAGCAGUAGGGAAUCUUCCGCAAGGGGGGAAAGCCUGACGGAGCAACGCGGCGUGAGUGAUGAAGGUCUUCGGAUCGUAAAACUCUGUUAUUAGGGAAGAACAAAUGUGUAAGUAACUAUGCACGUCUUGACGGUACCUAAUCAGAAAGCCACGGCUAACUACGUG
rnacentral:rRNA from 1 species